rnacentral:rRNA from 1 species
ACCAGACUUGCCCUCCAAUUGAUACUUGUUAAGAGGUUUAGAUUGUACUCAUUCCAAUUACUAAAUUUUAUUACAAAUUCAGUAUUGUUAUUUAUUGUCACUACCUCCCCAUGUUGGGAUUGGGUAAUUUGCGCGCCUGCUGCCUUCCUUGGAAGUAGUAGCCGUUUCUCAGGCUCCUUCUCCGGAAUCAAACCCUGAUUCUCCGUUACCCGUUACCACCAUGGUAGUCCUCUAUACUACCAUCGAAAGUUGAUAGGGCAGAUAUUUGAAUGAACUAUCGUCAGUACUAAGACUAUACGAUUAGUUAAAUUACUAUGAAUCACCAAUAUUUAAACUAUUUAUUAAAUUGCUUCAAUAAAUAGUAUUGGUUUUGUAUCUAAUAAAUACAACCUUUCCGUUCCCAGUUAGGUUUUUACGCAUGUAUUAGCUCUAGUUUUACCACGGUUAUCCAAGUGGUAUUUACCAUCAAAUAAAUUAUAACUGAUUUAAUGAGCCAUUCGCAGUUUUACAGUACAAGUGCUUAUACUUAGACAUGCAUGGCUUAGUCUUUAAGACAAGCAUAUGACUACUGGCAGGAUCAACCAG